UACGUAGGGGGCAAGCGUUGUCCGGAUUUAUUGGGCGUAAAGAGCGUGUAGGCGGCCAGGCAGGUCCGUUGUGAAAACUCGAGGCUCAACCUCGAGACGUCGAUGGAAACCGUCUGGCUAGAGUCCGGAAGAGGAGAGUGGAAUUCCUGGUGUAGCGGUGAAAUGCGCAGAUAUCAGGAAGAACACCUAUGGCGAAGGCAGCUCUCUGGGACGGUACUGACGCUGAGACGCGAAAGCGUGGGGAGCAAACAGG
rnacentral:rRNA from 1 species